UUUGUUUGAGGGGCUUAUAAAUACGUGUUGGCCGGCUUGGGGCUCACUCUCUUGGCAUUCUAGCAUACUUGACAUCCUUGUGAGCCUAAGCUAACACUCUCACUCAUCUCCUUCAUAGAUUAAACAUCUUUGUGAGAUUGGGAGUGAUUCCAACUGCAUUUGCUUCAGUGAUUGCAUCUAGUGGCACUUGGGGAUCGUUCUAGCUGCGGUUUUCUUGUUACUCUUGGUGGUUGCCACCACCUAGAUGG
rnacentral:lncRNA from 1 species